UCAUAUGGAUGAGCAAGGAAAGUGGUUUCUUGAGAUGAAAACUAUUGCUGGUGAAGAUGCUAUGAA
rnacentral:pre_miRNA from 1 species